UCCAGCCAUAGCUCCCAUUAUACUGUUGCUAAUUUCAUUCAAUCUUGCAUUCAGCUUGUAAUUGGCCAAAGUGGUAGCAUUCAUUGGGGCCAGUAGCCUAACUGGCAUUCCCAUAUUCAUCAGGUAAGGCUUCAUUCUGGAUGAUUCUCCUUCAUAGUAUUUAGCCUUUUCUUUAUCAUAGGAUAUCAUUCUUUUUAAAUCAGGCUGCUCCAAAAUCUUCACAUUCCCAUAUUAUAAACCUUGUGUAGGAGGCCCUUGCCCUGC
rnacentral:lncRNA from 1 species